rnacentral:rRNA from 1 species
AUGGACGUCCCCGGCGGCCGGGCGUACGGGGAGGAGCAGGAGGAGGAGCUGGACCCGGCGAGUACAGCCACUCUGCCUCAGCCUAAGUCACCCCCGCUGUCAGAUAUACCAAUCGGCGUCUCAUCUCCAUCGCCGCCUCCACCACCACCACCACCACGGCCGCCUAGUCAUCGUCUCCCGGAAGCAAAGGCGAAGACGAAGAAGAAGCAUCGCAAGGUGCAAGACGAAGACGGCAAGGUAAGGUUGCCACUGCUGGAGAAGAUGAAGAAGCAAGAGGAGAAGAGGAUGGAGGACAAGAAAGCGAGGGAGGCGGCGAACGGUGGAAGACAGCCGACUGAGCACGAGGAUUGGGACGUGUCACCAAAGCUGCUGCCGGCGAGCGAGGAUCCAGGGACGCCGCCGACGACGGAGCUGGUGACGAACAUGGCGGCCGCGGUGGUGGUGCUGGUGGGGAUCGCGCUGUCAGUUUGGCGCACCAUGAGCAGCAGCUAG